rnacentral:tRNA from 1 species
AUUUAAAUAGUUUAAUUAAGAAUAUUGAUUUGUGGGAUCAGAGGUAUAAAAUUAUUUUAAAUU